rnacentral:lncRNA from 1 species
UUAGUUUGAAAAAUUUUAAACACAUCUCUCAUUCGAUUGAUGUUAAUAAUUCUAAGGUGUCCCAUAAUAGACAAUAUCGUCGACAAGGUAAUCAAAAAUACUUUCGACCCGAUCGUAAGGAUAGGGAUAGGAAUAGGGAUCAGAUUCGUGAGCGAGAACGAGAUAAUUUUGAAAUUCUUACUCAAUGGAAUGCCCUUAAACAAGGAAAUCAAUUAGUAACUGAGUAUAUCGCGCAAUUUGAGGAAUUUCGAACCAAAGGUCAUUUAAUUGAGAAUGAGAGCACGACUUUGAGUAGGUUUAGCCAAGGUCU